AUUGAACGCUGGCGGCAUGCCUUACACAUGCAAGUCGAACGGCAGCACGGGAGCUUGCUCCUGGUGGCGAGUGGCGAACGGGUGAGUAAUAUAUCGGAACGUGCCCUAGAGUGGGGGAUAACUAGUCGAAAGAUUAGCUAAUACCGCAUACGAUCUAAGGAUGAAAGUGGGGGAUCGCAAGACCUCAUGCUCGUGGAGCGGCCGAUAUCUGAUUAGCUAGUUGGUGAGGUAAAGGCUCACCAAGGCUACGAUCAGUAGCUGGUCUGAGAGGACGACCAGCCACACUGGAACUGAGACACGGUCCAGACUCCUACGGGAGGCAGCAGUGGGGAAUUUUGGACAAUGGGCGCAAGCCUGAUCCAGCAAUGCCGCGUGAGUGAAGAAGGCCUUCGGGUUGUAAAGCUCUUUCAGGAGGGACGAAGCCACUCGGGUUAAUAGCCCAGAGGGUGACGGUACCUCCAGAAGAAGCCCCGGCUAACUACGUGC
rnacentral:rRNA from 1 species